AUGAACGCUGGCGGCGUGCCUAACACAUGCAAGUCGAACGAUGAAACCGCCCCCGGGCGGACAUGAAGUGGCGAACGGGUGAGUAACACGUGACCGACCUGCCCCCCGCCCAGGGACAGCCCCCCGAAAGGGGGAUUAAUACCUGGUACUCCGGGAGCGGCGCAUGCCGCCCCCGGGAAAGCUCAGGCGGCGGGGGAUGGGGUCGCGGCCCAUCAGGUAGACGGCGGGGCAGAGGCCCACCGUGCCGACGACGGGUAGCCGGGUUGAGAGACCGACCGGCCACAUUGGGACUGAGAUACGGCCCAGACUCCUACGGGAGGCAGCAGUGGGGAAUUUUGCGCAAUGGGGGCAACCCUGACGCAGCAACGCCGCGUGCGGGACGAAGGCGUCCGCGUCGUAAACCGCUUUCAGCGGGGAACACCUAAACGAGGGUACCCGCAGAAGAAGCCCCGGCUAAAGACGGGCCAGCAGCCGCGGUAAUACGUAUGGGGCGAGCGUUAUCCGGAUUCAGUGGGCGUAAAGCGCGCGUAGGCGGAGCGCUAAGCGGGACCUCUAACCCGAGGGCUCAACCCCCGGCCGGGUCCCGAACUGGCGCUCUCGAGUGCGGUAGGGGAGAGCGGAAUUCCCGGUGUAGCGGUGGAAUGCGCAGAUAUCGGGAAGAACACCGACGGCGAAGGCAGCUCUCUGGGCCGAAACUGACGCUGAGGCGCGAAAGCUGGGGGAGCGAACAGGAUUAGAUACCCUGGUAGUCCCAGCCGUAAACGAUGGGCGCUAGGUGUGGGGGAGCAGAUCCCCCGUGCCGCAGCCAACGCAUUAAGCGCCCCGCCUGGGGAGUACGGCCGCAAGGCUAAAACUCAAAGGAAUUGACGGGGGCCCGCACAAGCAGCGGAGCAUGUGGCUUAAUUCGAAGCAACGCGAAGAACCUUACCAGGGCUUGACAUGCAGGUGAAGCGGCGGAGACGCCGUGGCCGAGAGGAGCCUGCACAGGUGGUGCAUGGCUGUCGUCAGCUCGUGUCGUGAGAUGUUGGGUUAAGUCCCGCAACGAGCGCAACCCUUAUGGUCAGUUACUACGUAAGAGGACUCUGGCCAGACUGCCGUUGACAAAACGGAGGAAGGUGGGGACGACGUCAAAUCAUCAUGCCCCUUAUGACCUGGGCUACACACGUACUACAAUGGACAUAAACAGAGGGAAGCAAUACAGUGAUGUGGAGCAAACCCCUAAAAAUGUUCUCAGUUCAGAUUGCAGGCUGCAACCCGCCUGUAUGAAGAUGGAAUUGCUAGUAAUCGCAGAUCAGCAUGCUGCGGUGAAUACGUUCCCGGGCCUUGUACACACCGCCCGUCACACCACCCGAGUCGUCUGCACCCGAAGCCGCCGGCCGAACCCCCCUGGGGGCGGAGGCGUCGAAGGUGUGGAGGGUGAGGGGGGUG
rnacentral:rRNA from 1 species